GUCUUGCCAAGCAUGAUGAUGAGUGAUGGUGAUGCCUUACAGAAGUCUAGGUGCCAGAGCUCUGUGUCCUUUCAGACCUCUACAUCUGCUUGAAUAUUGGCUGAGGAAUUGAGGCCGCGUUCGGCAGCAGAAAAAAUGGUUCAUAUAAUGGGUGGGGCCAUCAUGACUGGUAGAGAGAGCUGGAGCUUCCCAGUGGAGCACAACAGGGCAGAGACACAAAGGCCUAUUUAAGAGCAGGAUUCGGUGUGCAGAGAAUGAUGUGCAUGAGACAGAGGACAUGAGGGACUCCGCCCAGUCCAAAAUGCUGACAAACUUGGACUCAAAGAAAGAAAGGAUGAGAUCAGACAUGGAAAAAUUACCUGGGCCCAACCCACUGUGUAAGCAUAACUGAAUCCUGAGAGCAGAAGACAUGGCAAGAAUAUGCUACAUUUAGCAGUCUGAUCCUAUGAGUACUUAUGCAUUGCUGAUACCAUCUACAUGCUGGGCCAAAAAAGAGCCAAGAAAUGCAUAUGGUGAAAACUAGGAAGAGCUUUUAUUAAGAUAAGUACGUCAUAUUGAGGACUUCCACGGUGUAAUACCACCUCUGGCAACUCCGUUGAACAGGAACUUUCAAGGUGUGUGAACCAGGAAGGAGCCAUGCCUUGAGGCAGAGACUCACCAGGUUGGGAUGCAGGGUACAUCCUCUAUUCUGUGAGAAGAGGUAUGAAGUGUCUGGAAGAGAGAUCGGCUGGCUCAUCACGAGCUGUGACAGGACCUUCAAGAGUAGGGAAAAGGAGAAACAGCAUAAGGAAGGUCUCUGUCUCAGGGGAGGAGGAGAGCAUCACCUA